rnacentral:rRNA from 1 species
AACGUCCUUUUCUUAGGAAGAGGGAGUGGCGGACGGGUGAGUAACACGUGGGAAUCUACCUUUUAGUGAGGAAUACCGGCGAGAAAUCGCUGACAAAACCGCAUAAGUUCGGUGACGAGUAAAGCUCCUUUUCGGAGGGGCGCUGAAAGAUGAGCCUGCGUCCGAUUAGCUAGCUGGUGGGGUAAUGGCCUACCAGGGCAUCGAUCGGUAGCUGGUCUGAGAGGACGAUCAGCCACACUGGGAUUGAGAACGGCCCAGACUCCUACGGGAGGCAGCAGUGAGGAAUUUUCCGCAAUGGACGAAAGUCUGACGGAGCAACGCCGCGUGCAGGAAGACGGCCUUCGGG